CCUACGGGUGGCAGCAGUGAGGAAUAUUGGUCAAUGGGCUUACGCCUGAACCAGCCAAGUCGCGUGAGGGAAGACUGCCCUAUGGGUUGUAAACCUCUUUUGUCAGGGAGCAACGCCGGCUACGUGUAGCCGGACUGAGAGUACCUGAAGAAAAAGCAUCGGCUAACUCCGUGCCAGCAGCCGCGGUAAUACGGAGGAUGCGAGCGUUAUCCGGAAUUACUGGGUGUAAAGGGAGCGUAGGCGGGGAUGCAAGUUGGGUGUCAAAACUACCGGCUCAACUGGUAGUCGAACGCAAAACUGCAGCUCUUGAGUGAAGUAGAGGCAGGCGGAAUUCCUAGUGUAGCGGUGAAAUGCGUAGAUAUUAGGAGGAACACCAGUGGCGAAGGCGGCCUGCUGGGCUUUUACUGACGCUGAGGCUCGAAAGUGUGGGGAGCAAACAGGAUUAGAUACCCGAGUAGUC
rnacentral:rRNA from 1 species